rnacentral:rRNA from 1 species
GAUGAACGCUGGCGGCGUGCCUAAUACAUGCAAGUCGAGCGAAGCGGGGACGGGUGAGUAACACGUGGAUAACCUCCUAUAAGACUGGGAUAACUUCGGGAAACCGGAGCUAAACCGGAUACUUAAAGCUGGAUCCGCGCGGCUUUAGCUAGUUGGUAAGGUAACGGCUUACCAAGGCAACGAUGCAUAGCCGACCUGGGAGGGGGAUCGGCCACACGGGAACUGGGCCACGGACCAGACUCCUACGGUAGGCAGCAGUAGGGAAUCUUCCGCAAUGGGGGAAAGCCUGACGGAGCAAGGCCGCGUGAGUGAUGAAGGUCUUCGGUUCGUAAAGCUCUUUUAUCAGGGAAGCGGUACCUAAUCAGAAAGCCACGGCUAACUACGUGCCAGCAGCCGCGGUAAUAC